rnacentral:tRNA from 1 species
GCGCCCGUGGCGCAGUGGAUAGCGCGUUUGGUUGCGGACCAAAAGGUCGGAGGUUCGAGUCCUCCCGGGCGUACCA